CCUACGGGUGGCAACAGUAGGGAAUAUUGCUCAAUGGGGGAAACCCUGAAGCAGCAACGCCGCGUGGAGGAUGAAGGUUUUCGGAUUGUAAACUCCUUUUGUUAGAGAAGAUAAUGACGGUAUCUAACGAAUAAGCACCGGCUAACUCCGUUCCAGCAGCCGCGGUAAUACGGAGGGUGCAAGCGUUACUCGGAAUCACUGGGCGUAAAGGGCGCGUAGGCGGGAUAGCAAGUCAGAUGUGAAAUCCUAUGGCUUAACCAUAGAACUGCAUUUGAAACUGUUAUUCUAGAGUAUGGGAGAGGUAGGUGGAAUUCUUGGUGUAGGGGUAAAAUCCGUAGAGAUCAAGAGGAAUACUCAUUGCGAAGGCGACCUGCUAGAACAUAACUGACGCUGAUGCGCGAAAGCGUGGGGAGCAAACAGGAUUAGAUACCCGGGUAGUC
rnacentral:rRNA from 1 species